UUCAUGGAUGCUGACAGAACACACCAGACUACUGAACCAGAGAUGAAAGACUAUUACAGCAAAAGCAGUAGCCAGAGUGUCAACAUGUUUGUGUUGGUUCCCUGAACCCCAGAAACUAAGCAGAACUCACAGAAACUAAGCAGAUGGGCCCAGAUAUGUGUUUGCACAUAGGUUGCAUUACAGGAGAGAAAUGCUAAGCUUGGGGAUCCCACCAUUUUAUAGCAAGCAGUAAGCAAGCCUGCUCUUUGUCCCAUAGGGAGACAUUCCCUCAUCUCUCAAGGUUGCUCACAGCAAGAAUAUGCAAGAACGGGGAAGGCCGAUGGCAUUGUCUCUCCAUACAAGGGAGCCAAAGCAUGGUCUGUAACCAACUCGGAGCAAACUGAUCUCCGCCCAGAUGCAGCUUGAGUUCCCUGGACAGCAAAACCGUGAAUUAAACACUACUUCAUUUUGGUGUUUUAAAGUUCAAAUCCAUUAUACACCUCUGGGAGUCUGCAAUAACACUUUUCAUGUUUGUACAGCAGAAUUAUUUUUAGACGUACUUAUAAGAGGACUGGAUGUCAAAUCAGGAGACCUGAGCGCUAGCCUGGUUCUGCCACUUACUUAA
rnacentral:lncRNA from 1 species